rnacentral:rRNA from 1 species
UACGGGGGGGGCAAGCGUUGUUCGGAAUUACUGGGCGUAAAGGGCUCGUAGGUGGCCAACUAAGUCAGACGUGAAAUCCCUCGGCUUAACCGGGGAACUGCGUCUGAUACUGGAUGGCUUGAGUUUGGGAGAGGGACGCGGAAUUCCAGGUGUAGCGGUGAAAUGCGUAGAUAUCUGGAGGAACACCGGUGGCGAAGGCGGCGCCCUGGACCAACACUGACACUGAGGAGCGAAAGCCAGGGGAGCAAACGGG